rnacentral:tRNA from 1 species
ACGUUCGUAGCUCAACUGGUUAGAGCACUACUAUGACAUGGUAGAGGUUAGUGGUUCAAGUCCACUCGGACGUA